rnacentral:lncRNA from 1 species
GCAAUUAAACAUCUUGCAAAAUCCUAUGAGGCAAUAAUACAUUUUGCAUUUAGAUUGUUGCUUAUUAUUCUUGAACUAUACUCGAGGGCCAACUCUUUCCAAGUACUUUACCCUUUUCUUCAGAUUUUAGCCACAGGAAAAAUGAUAAAGUUGAUUUGUUGCUUAUAAAGGCAUCUGCUGGAUAGUGCACAACACAACACAACCCACCGUGCAUCUGCAACUUAAACUUCAAAAUAUCAGUUCUCGUCUUCAAAAUAGAUCACAUCGUUGGUGCUUGUAAUUAGAUUUCAGUUGAGACAGUCAGAUGACUAAAAGGCUAUAUGUCAGACCAUGAAAUGCUGCGGAGAGAGCACUCACAGUUCUCAUUUACAAUGUCAAUGCUAGUGUUGGAAAUUUUGAGUUCAGUGGGUGGAGCAGAGGCACCAGAGCAGCUGAUUAAAAGCCACUAUGUUGGACCACAGAGAAACGCUUUCAUUAGUUGGGUUACCACAAGCAUAUUUG